UGCUUUUCUCGUCACUGGUACAACAGUGUGAUAGUAUUGACGUACCGAUCGCGGACAGUGCACUUUUGACGCGGGCAUCGCUUUCCACACCCAUCAACUGGCCGCCCGGGCAAAGCAUUGCCCGCGGGCUUGCUCAUCUACAACAGAUAGGCCUAAUGAGUCAAUUGAAUACGUCUGCACGUAUUUUAAGGAACAGUUUUUGAGAAUAACAGAGCUACUUUCUAAGGUGAAAUCGUUGAUGCCAUUGGACCUCUGAAAGCUGUCACCGAAAGCUAUUCUAGCCGACGUUACAUUUCUUAGAUUAUUGCAAUUCGCAGGAAUUAGAGAACUUUAAAGCAGUUUCAAUAUCAUUUUUGAAAAUACAUUUUAUCAUCGGCAAGGGAGACAAUGUGCAGAGUCUAAGGACUAUAAAAGGAGAGCUAAAAGCCAUGAACCUAUGCUGGAGAAGUAUCAAGAGAAGAGUCCAAAGCAGACAGUGGAACACCUUCGUUGCUGCACUGCAUGCCAGGAGGCAUGGUGGGCGGCAAAUAUAUGAGGUAUGGUUAAGUUUGCCGAUCCAGUCGGGGAAAUAAAAGAAACGAACGUACUGUGGCUUAUAAUAUUGUCGUGUGUCCCGACCAACGCAACAUUACCGACUCAAGACAACAACCCUGAACUGACGACUCGCACUGCUGAAAUUUUGUAGGGUUUUUCUUUUUCUUUUGGGAGGGGAGGGGGUGUAUGUUUUUCUUUUCUUUUGAGAAUGAUCUGAGGAAAAAAAAACUGUUGACGAAAGUUGCUCAUCAGACCACUCAGAAUACAAUAGAAGACAGACCUCUCUGAUCGCCCUCCAUAUCACAUGAUUUUACCGCCUCGGAUGUAGUUGACUUUUAUAUAUUCUUUAUCCUAAAAUAAAUAAACUAAAAGAAAAAAACAUAUUAGCAGCGGCUCCAGCGAUUUUGUGUGCAAAUAACCACCUCUUGCCAAGGCUCUUCUUUUUCAAAGCUGUGCUCACCAACGAAAUCGGUUGCUUCUUUCCCAAUUGAGGUCUAGGGUUUCCAAACAGGGGUUGUAAAUUCCAGCCCCUUGGUAUUUGGUUCAAUACCUGUCAAGUGACAGAGUUUUUCUUUACAACCAAAAUCAACUCCACUCAGUAUUAAGACUCUUAAUGGGACUUCACUUCAUGUUUUUUAUCUUGUGUUAGGGAUUGUCAUUUUUGUAAGUCAUUGAUUAGGCCUAAUAUUGGAAAUUCCUGGCCCAUGAUCUCAAAUUUAUAACAAACUGAAAUGAUCUGACAAAAAUUGUACAUAUUUUGGUAUUAACUCAUUACCCUUGAUCGUUUAUAUUUUACUAGUAGGCAUCUGUCUAUCCGAAUAAAAAUACUAAGUAAUAAUAAGAAAUAAUAAGAUAAUCAAAAAAAUGAUAGGCUAUUGAAAAGAAAAGCUAAAAUUUAUAGAAAGUUUGAGACUUCUGAUGGUGUAAAAGACCGUAUUUCGGGCAUUUAUUUUUCGGGAUGGCCCAGUUUUCUUCCCCGGUUCCCCUCCCCAUCUCCCUAUCCCUGAUUUCGAGAUAAAAUGUACAGUACUUCCAUGGUUAAACCACAAAGAAAAUUUCUAUUUUAUCUGUGGUUAAACAGAAUACAUAACCAGCUCACCAAAUCAAGACGUGCGUGGAAUACCGACUUACCGUCGAUCAUAGUAGAAAUAUGUUGCAAUUAUACUAAUUAGUGUUCGCUAGACCGAGAACACGUUCACAGUACAGUACUAUUGAACUUAUCCAGUGUCAUACUAUUCAUAAUGUUAUAAUACGGCAUUACCGUGCGAAAUGUAUUGUAAAGUAGGCACUGAUUGACGUACCGUAUGUCGGUACAGAACACGUGUUUGUGCACGUUUGUUACGUCGUAUUUUGUAAUAUCAUGUACUUUUCUUUGUCUCUAAAUUUCCCCGAGGGUAAAUUUUCACACUGUCUUCAGCCUCAAUUUUCCCACUGUUUUCAGCCUGCUGGGCCUAUGGUAGGCAUUUUGUAAAUCACCGGUACUAAUAUAAAAACGCUAUGUUGGUAGGCCCCUACAUGUGAACACGUGCCAAGAAACUUAACAGGUGAAGAAAAAGUACUAUGUAAGCCUAGACCUACGCUUAUUAUACUGUAAGCCCAGAGGUCGAUAUUAUAUGAUCCAGGGGUGGAUUUGCCCGAUGGGGGGUCCGAAGUCUCUGACGGUGGGAGUGUCCCCUACGAGAGGAGAUUUGACUUGGUCGGGCGUCGCUCAAAAUCUUUCGAAAUUGGUCCAUGGGCGAAGAAUAUGACAAUUGAGGUGUUUCAAAUGCUUAUUUACUAAUUAAUUUUAGAAGCUACUAAUAUGUAGAAAAUACUUUUUUUUUCUCCCCGACGAAUUGUUGUUUUUCUCGCGCUGGGGGCUAGAUCUCCCGACGAGGUGUCCCACCCGACUAGGGCUUCCCCUGCUAUGUUCAUGCUAUACCGGUGCAAGGCCUACUAUGAACAUAAAGAGCGAAUUAAGUAUCCAUUUCGACGUCUAGGAUUUAUACGAGACCGAGAGAGCGAGCCUACGGGCUCUAUCUCAUUCAUUUAACAUGCUCAUAUCAAGAAUGCGUUACUGUGAACGAACCUAUUGAUGUGCCGCAACGUAAAUAGUGUUUAGAUUUCGUCAACAAGUUAUGUUUAAAAAGCUGGUAACAUUUAGGAGUGGAGUGGAGUGAGUGUAGGCCUCUAAAGCCGGUUACUCACUGCGUGCGACGGCAACGCGACGAAGAACGCACGCGAAGACGCAGACCCAACGGAUCG